rfam:Felis catus isolate Cinnamon breed Abyssinian chromosome B2, whole genome shotgun sequence.
GCCUGGGUGGCUCAGUCGGUUAAGCGUCCGACUUCAGCUCAGGUCAUGAUCUCACGGUCUGUGGGUUCGAGCCCUGCUUUGGGCU